UGACUGCAGUCCUUAGCAGAGGACUCUGCCAAGCUGUGCCAGGACUCCUGACCUGCAGAAAUUGUGAGGAGACCCACAAAGUACUUAAGAUAAUUGUUUCAAUGAAGGUGCUACCAGCUUGGACUAAAAAGGACAGAGUACAUGUGAAAGGAGGCUGUCAAACUCCCAAAAUUCUACUGGCAGGAAAUACUGAUAAAACUACUCAGCUGCUACCUUUUAUGAAAAAGGAAGGGUGACUCAGAAAGCAGAACCAAGAACUAAGAAGGCGGAGCCUAGAGCCGCAUGGAAUUAUCCUUAUGUCUUGAAACCUCUUCCAGAAAUCAAACCUUUGCCUGGCUGGAUAUCACGGCUGCCAUGGAGCAGUGACUUCCUUUUAUCUUUCAUUUCCCCCCUUUUUGAACUGGACUGUCUAUAGAUGUUAUUUUUGGUCUGUCCCACGAAUUUAUAUUGAGUUUGUUGAAGGCAGAUAACUUGUGUCUUUAGUUUCACAGGAUCACAGAUGGAGAGGAAUCGUGCCUCAGGAGCUAGCUAUACUUAACAGAUUAUCGCCAGAAACCUCAUUUUUACCUAGACCUGAUUUAAAUGAUGAGAUUUUGAAUGUUGAGCUGGUUCUAUAAUGGGAUGAGACUCAGGAAAUUUGGGAGGGGGUGAAUUUAUUUUGCAUGUGAGAGAGACAUUAAUCGUUGGUGGCUGGAGAGUAGACUGCAGUAGACAGAAGCUAAAAUGGCCCUGAAGGUCUUCACUUUCAUGCCCCUGUAUAAUCCCUUCCCUUAGAGUGUGGGUAGGGCCUGUAAUUUGCUUCUAAUUAAUAGAAUAUAUACAAGGUUAUAGAACAUCACUCCCAAGAUAAUGUUACAUUAUAUAGGAACUGUCUUGCUGGAAAUCUCUCUAUGAUGCUGAUUUUGCAUAAACACGCUGCCGUGAGUCUUAGAGUCACAUGAAAAUGAAUUCUUUCAACAUCUUCAAUCAAGUUCUACGUGGGCCUGUCCUCAGGCAAGCCUCUAGAUUAGAAAUACCUGUUUGUUUGUUAAUCUCUUUUUGUGUCCUCUCACCUAUACAUGGACAUGUUGUCUUCAAGGUCAAGAGUUUGUAAGCUUCUGAAAUUAGAGGUUAUGGCAGUCAUCUCUACUGUCUCCUGACACUUCCUGGGGUAGGACUGGUACUCAGAUGCAUGAGUAAAUGAAAGUCAGGGUUAACUUCUUCAAAAACCCAAAUCUUUUUUCUCUACUAAGCAAGUUAGUUUAUUCUUUACACUGGCUCUUUUCAAGCUUAUAAGAUGGGUGCCCUAGAUCCAGAUAUACAAUAAAGAUAAAAUGAUGUAGAGCAGAAAAUGAGAAACUAUUUCUAUUUACUGUUUCUUUUUAUCAGUAAGGAAACAUUUCCCAGAGACCCCUAAGAUAAUCCUUUCAUAUAUCUCAUUGGCCAGUCCUGGGUCACAUGCCCACCAUAUAAUUAUUCCCUGGCAAGCAGAUUGGUAAAACAAUCGCAACCUGCUAAGACCAGCGAUGAUUUUUCUGAGUUGCUGGGGAAGAAGUGGACACACGUUAACAAAAUUUAGAUCUAACAACAUGAGGAAAAAGGGGAAUUUGCUGUUGCUUGGACAAACAAUAGUAUCUUCUUCAAGAACAUAGCACAAUUUUACAAAUAAUUGUAUUAUAAAAUCACUGAAAAAUCCAUAAAUAUUUAUUGAGCAACUCCUAUGGGUAGUAUUCUGGGAGCUAGAGGUGCAAUAGUGAAAAGUAGAGUUUCUUUUUCCUACUUCAAAUGAGUAAUGUCACAUGCUGAUAGUAUAAAAGAUAAAAUUCAUAAUGGUAAAGAGUGACUUGGUGAGGGUGUGGCAGGGCUGUUUUAUGUACCCUGGCUAUGUGUACAUCCAUGGAAGAAUUGCAGGUAACACAACUGACCUGAAUUCACACUUAACUAAAUAAAGAGAUACCCCAUUGUGCCCCUGUGGCCAAUCCCUUGUUACAC
ensembl:lncRNA TEX41 testis expressed 41